UAACUGUAGAACUGCAUUGGAAACUUUCCAGACUAGAAUACUGAAGGGGGCAGAUGGAAUUAGUGGUGUAGGGGGUAAAAUCCGUAGAUAUCACUAGGAAUACCGAAAGCGAAAGCGAUCUGCUGGGAAGUUAUUGACGCUGAGGCACGAAAGCGUGGGGAGCAAACGGGAUUAGAUACCCCGGUAGUCCACGCCCUAAACGAUGAAUGCUAGUCGUCGGAAAGCUCGUCUUUUCGGUGAUGCAGUUAACACAUUAAGCAUUCCGCCUGGGGAGUACGGUCGCAAGAUUAAAACUCAAAGGAAUAGACGGGGACCCGCACAAGUGGUGGAGCAUGUGGUUUAAUUCGAAGAUACGCGAAGAACCUUACCUAGCCUUGACAUUGAUAGAAUCUGGUAGAGAUACCGGAGUGCCUUUCGAGGAACUUGAAAACAGGUGCUGCACGGCUGUCGUCAGCUCGUGUCGUGAGAUGUUGGGUUAAGUCCCGCAACGAGCGCAACCCUCGUCGUUAGUUGCUAACAGUUCGGCUGAGCACUCUAGCGAGACUGCCUUCGCAAGGAGGAGGAAGGUGAGGACGACGUCAAGUCAUCAUGGCCCUUAUGGCUAGGGCUACACACGUGCUACAAUGGGGCGUACAGAGAGUUGCGAUACCGCGAGGUGGAGCUAAUCUCAUAAAGCGUCUCUCAGUUCGGAUUGAUCUCUGCGACUCGAGAUCAUGAAGCUGGAAUCACUAGUAAUCGUAGAUCAGCAAUGCUACGGUGAAUACGUUCCCGGGUCUUGUACUCACCGCCCGUCACACCAUGGGAGUUGAUUUC
rnacentral:rRNA from 1 species